rnacentral:rRNA from 1 species
UACGUAGGGGGCUAGCGUUGUCCGGAAUCAUUGGGCGUAAAGAGCGCGUAGGCGGAUGUGUCAGUCAGGGGUGAAAUCCCGGAGCUCAACUUCGGAGCUGCCUCUGAUACAGCACGUCUUGAGUCCGAGAGAGGUGGGUGGAAUUCCUAGUGUAGAGGUGAAAUUCGUAGAUAUUAGGAAGAACACCAGUGGCGAAGGCGGCCCACUGGCUCGGUACUGACGCUGAGGUGCGAAAGCGUGGGGAGCAAACAGG